GUGCUCGCUUUGGCAGCAUAUAUACUAAAACUGGAACAAUAUAAAGAAGAUUAGCAUGGCCCCUGUGCAAGGAUGACACGUAAAUUUGUGAAGCGUUCCAUAUUUUU